GGGUCGAUGCCCGAGCAAUUAAUGGGGACGGACUAUAAAUUCGUUGACGACAUGCCUACAUUGGUUCAAAUCCAACUCGGCCUA
rfam:Populus trichocarpa scaffold_2_contig_95, whole genome shotgun sequence.